GCUUACACAUGCAAGUCGAACGGUAACAGAAAAUAGCUUGCUAUUUUGCUGACGAGUGGCGGACGGGUGAGUAAUGCUUGGGAAUUUGCCUGAUGGUGGGGGACAACAGUUGGAAACGACUGCUAAUACCGCAUAAUGUCUACGGACCAAAGGUGGCCUCUAUUUAUAAGCUAUCGCUAUCAGAUGAGCCCAAGUGGGAUUAGCUAGUUGGUAAGGUAAUGGCUUACCAAGGCGACGAUCCCUAGCUGGUCUUAGAGGAUGACCAGCCACACUGGAACUGAGACACGGUCCAGACUCCUACGGGAGGCAGCAGUGGGGAAUAUUGCACAAUGGGGGAAACCCUGAUGCAGCCAUGCCGCGUGUGUGAAGAAGGCUUUCGGGUUGUAAAGCACUUUCAGCGAGGAGGAAAGGGUGUUGCCUAAUAC
rnacentral:rRNA from 1 species